UAUCUCUGUAGAGUCUGCAUAUCAUAAGCGGAGGAAAAGAAACUAACAAGGAUUCCCCUUAGUAACGGCGAGUGAAGCGGGAAGAGCUCAAAUUUGAAAUCUUCAAGGUUCUACCUUGACGAAUUGUAGUUUAUAAGAAGUGUUUUCGGUUAGUAGGAGUAGUCAAAAGUUCUUUGGAAUAGGACAUCAUAGAGGGUGAGAAUCCCGUAUUUGGAUCAUUCUCUCCUAGCUUUGUGAUACACUUUCAACGAGUCGGAUUGUUUGGGAAUGCAGUCCAAAAUGGGUGGUAAAUUUCAUCUAAAGCUAAAUAUUGGCGAGAGACCGAUAGCGAACAAGUACCGUGAGGGAAAGAUGAAAAGAACUUUGAAAAGAGAGUUAAACAGUACGUGAAAUUGUCAAAAGGGAAGCGUUUGACACCAGUGUUGUUUUUCCGAAAAUCAAUUACGAAUGUUUUGUUUUUGAGGAGUUAUGACUUCAUCGGCUUGCUUCUUUCUUUACGAAACUUUCUUAAUGCACUUUUCGGUUAACAAGUCAACAUCAAUUUCUUUUGUUGUAAAAGGGUAUGAGGAAGGUGGCUUUCUUUUCGGAGAAAGUGUUUAUAGCCUUGUACCUCUGCAAUCGGAGAGAUUGAGGUCUGCAGCGUAGAUCCUUCGGGGUUAGAUACAUUUGUGCUAAGUUAUAGCUUUUCAUAGACAACUUGUUGACUAUGUUUAGUCAUGUAGCUUACUCGUAAGUGCUAUUUUACCUACGCUUAGGAUGUUGAAGACUCUACAGAGAUA
rnacentral:rRNA from 1 species